UAACCAUGAUGUGGACAAGUAAGGAGAAGUUCUUUGAAGUGCUCUCAAGCUUGGAAAAAGAAUUCAUUCCCCUUUUGGGAGAAUGACAUAAUUUCUUGUUUUAGUGC